AUGCAGUCGAGCUCGUGUGCCUCCCGCCGGCGGCCGCUCCGACCUCGCCGCCUGCUGCCCNNNNNGAUGACAGCGGCCACUCCGGCACCACCGGCGGCCGCUCCGACCUCGCCGCCCGCUGCCCCAGCCCCCGCCGCUCUGCUUGCCGCGGCAGCCCUCGCCCCGACCAUCCGAGGCCACCUCCAGAAGCCAGCAAUGACGGCGACCACUCCAGCACCAUUGGCCACCGGCGCCUCCGUCGGCCCUGUUCAGACUGUUCUGGCAACUGAAGCUUCGUUGCGCCCCUCUUGCGGGCAGGUGCGUGCCUCCAUCCAGUUGGAUGGGGGGUUGGAGGUCGUCGUCACUGCUAGUGCGGGCUCCGACCUGGACCUCGGGACGUUGCUGCCUUCACCGGCGGGUGAGGCCCCUGCAGCCCCUCCUGGGUUCCUGUGGGUUGGAAUGUCCGCUGAUGCCACCGACGACGACACCGAUGAGGAGGAGUUGGCACCGCAGACACCGCAGGCUGCCCCAGUGGCGUGUGUGGAGCCUGAUGCGAGGGUGUGCGGGGACCGACAAAAGGUGGCGCCUCCUGUGCGUCCGGCCUGUGGAGAUUGGCGAGGAUGUUUCGACCGUGAGGCGACGCCGGCAAUUCCUGAGUGUCACACUCCAUGCGGGAAUGUGUUGGAGGGCUGGCAGCUCGUCUCAAGAAGGCGGCACCCGACUUUCGCCGCUUUCUGCUGCCCUGCUGUCAAUAUGAGGCGCCCGCCUUCGGCAUGGCUAAGAGAUAGGUGUUUUCGGUGCCUCUGUCGAGGUCAUCGCGCACACUCUUGCAGGGAUCCUAUCCGAUGCAUGGACUGUCUUCGAUCCGGUCACAUCACCCGCUUUUGCCGUGCAAGGAAGCCUGUUCACCAAACUUCGCCGCGCCAAUGUCCUGCUCCAUCGCCUGCACCCACCAGUGAAGGCACCACAUCAGAUGUGUCGUUCCAGCCUGUCUUGACUGUGCAAUCUGGAUUGGCCGAGGAGACCGAGUUGCUUCUUGACUGCCUUGCGCGAGUUGAGAGUGUUUUAGGGAGAGCGGAGGCCGCCCUCGCCAAACUUGAGGUUGUGCCAGUUGUGUCUCCGCUGCCUGAGAUUUAG
rnacentral:rRNA from 1 species